rnacentral:tRNA from 1 species
UCCCUGGUGGCUCAGACGUUAAAGCAUUUGCCUACAAUGCAGGAGACCUGGGUUCGAUCCCUAGGUCGGGAA